GGUAACUUCCCGCUGCCCGGAACGGAGUUUCUCCGUUACCCACGGACAUCCAGGAGGCCGUGUGGAGGGCAAGCAGGGUAACCCCCACUCCUAAACCACCUCUAUCCAAGGGGAGCCCGAGGAGCCAGCAGGUCCGGACACUCUGAGGAGGCUCCUCGUGGGGCCUCCCACGCACAGGUGCUGAGCUGGGCCAGCGGGUAUCUCCAGGCAGCCUCUGCUAAUGAGCUCUUAGCAGGUAAACAGCUCUUCCUUGACCCCCUUCAGGAUAUGCAAGAGACAGGACCGACCUGAGCUGGCACGUGGCUGAGAAGCAGAAAUCAUCCAGUCUACAGCCUCUUAAUGUUCUCCCAGCUGGGACCUCUCUGCUCUCUGUGGCCGGGGCCUCAGGACCUCCUGGAAGAGUGGGACAGACCCAGGUUUGGGGAGCAGGGCUGCUAGGAAGCCUUCUACCUGUAUUCUGGAAGAACUUAGGAAGAAGGGUCACUGUAGUUGUUUAAGACCAUAGAGGUUGGGGGCAGGCCAAAUGGGGCUGGCCUGGAGCCUCUACCUUUCUUCAUCAUACCAUAGUAUCUGCUGAUGCUGAACAGAAUCCAUGCCUUCAGCCCAGAGC
rnacentral:lncRNA from 1 species